rnacentral:rRNA from 1 species
AUAGUUUUAAUAAAGCAAAUGGUGGAUGCCUUGGUUGCUAAAGCCGAAGAAGGACGUGGGAGACUGCGAAAAGUGUCGAGAAGCUGUCAACAAGCUGUGAUCCGACAAUGUCCGAAUGGAGCAAUCCACUCUGUAGUAAUGCAGAGGAGGCUGGUAUUUAUACCGGCCGGGUAAGCCUGGGAACUGAAACAUCUAAGUACCAGGAGGAAAAAAAAUCGUAUGAGAUUCCGUUAGUAGCGGUGAGCGAAAGCGGAAAAGCCUAAACCCCGAUUUAUCGGGGGGUUGCAGGGUCCAAAAUAACGACCUUGAAGAUUAAAAGAAGCUUCUGGAAUGGAGCGCCAAAGUGGGUGAAAGCCCCGUAUUGUAAAAUCGAGUAAAGGUAGGUUUGGAUACCUAAGUACCACGGGACACGCGAAAUGCCGUGGGAAUCUGGGGAGACCAAUCUCUAAGGCUAAAUACUUUAGCAGACCGAUAGUGAACUAGUACCGUGAGGGAAAGGUGAAAAAAACCCUUGAUUAAGGGAGUGAAAAGAUCUGAAACCAUUUGCUAACAAACAGACAAAGAGGACUUGUUCCUUGAUGUCGUGCCUAUUGAAGAAUGAGCCUGCGAGUGUUCUCAAUUAUCAAGUUUAACCCGGCCAAGCCGGGGAAGGCGUAGCGAAAGCGAGUCUGAAUAAGGCGAUUAGGUAAUUGGGGAUGACCCGAAACCGCUUGAGCUAACCAUGGACAGGGUGAACGGCAAUGAAAGUUGUCGGAAAGCCCGUACCGAUUACUGCUGCAAAAGUAUCGGACGAUCUGUGGUUAGGGGUAAUAUGCCAAUCGAAAGCGGAUAUAGCUGGCUCUCUCCGAAAUAUAUAUAGGUAUAGCGUCUAGUGUUUAAUAGCGGGGGUAGAGCUACUGGAUGAAUGUUUCUGGCGCAAGUCAGGGCAUUUAACUAAACUACGAAUACCGCUAUUCCAAGCUAGGCAGUCAGUCCGUCCGGGCUAAGCUGGAUGGGCAAGAGGGGAAGACCCCAGACUAUCAUCUAAGGUCUCUAAAUCUAUGCUAAGUGGGAAAGGUGGUGAAGCACCUAAGACAGACAGGAGGUUGGCUCAGAAGCAGCCAUCCUUUAAAGAAAGCGUAAUAGCUCACUGUUCGACUCUGAUUUAUCAGGGUCGGUGCUUUGCGCCUAAAAUGUAACGAGGCUAAAGCAUAGUACCGAAGUUGUAGACUUUUUCCGUUUAUUCGGAAGGAGUAGUAGGAGAGCGUUCUAGUUGCAGUGAAGGUCAAGGCGGAAGCCAGGCUGGAGCGGCUAGAAGUGAGAAUGCAGGCAUGAGUAACGAAACUCGAGUGAGAACCUCGAGCGCCGAAACACCUAAGGUUUCCUCAGCUACGUUGUUCGACUGAGGGUCAGGCGAUCCUAACACGAGGCCCUAAUUAAUAGGGGCGUAGUGGAUGGACAACCGGUUAAUAUUCCGGUCCUGUUUUUUAUUCGUUAUUACUUGGGGCGUUACGAUGUAUGGUAAAUCUGGUCUGGCAGUGAAAUCGCCAGAUUUAAGCGAGGUAGUAAGGAGGGAUAGGAAAAUCCGUUCUUCCGUUAUAAAACGAUGCGCGAAUAAGACUCCGGUGCAAAUCGGGGAAUCAGAUCGAGUCCAUGUAUCCGAGAAACGCGUCGCAAGGAGAAUAAAGAAUAUUCGUACUAAAACCGACACUGGUGGGUGGGUCGAGUAGACCUAGGCGAUUGGAAGAAAGAUAGUUCAGGAACUUGGCAAAUUAGCUGGGUGUAAGCUAUGCAAGAUACCCUGCCCCGAUUAACCUCGGGGUUACAACAAAAGAAUACACGGCGACUGUUUAUCAGAAACACAGGUCCAUGCUAACCCGUAAGGGGAUGUAUAUGGGCUGAAACCUGACCGGUGCCAGAAGGUUAAAAGAGAGAGUGAUUGUCGCAAGACAUGAGCUUUCGAUACAAGCCCUGGUGAACGUCAGCAGUAACUCUAACUGUUCUAAGGUAGCGAAGUCCUUUGUCGGGUAAGUUCCGACGCGUAUGAAAGGUUUAACGACCGUGUAACUGUCUUAACUAUCUAUCCAGUGAAAUUGAAAGAGCGGUGAAGAUGCCGUUUAACCACUACAGGACAAAAAGACCCCAUGAAGCUUUACUGGAUCUUUACAUUGACAAGGAUUUGAUGAUUGUCGAGCGUAGGAGGGAGCCUUCGGGCGCCAAUGGAACACCUCCCUUUGUCAUUUUUGAGUCUAACCUCAACAAUGAAUCUUGAUUGAGAGACAGUGUAUGGUUGCUAGUUUGCCUGGGGCAGGCACCUGCAAAAAAGUAACGCGGGUAUACAAAGGUUGACUUGGUCCGGCAAGAAAUCGGACUAUAAGUACAAAAGCAUAAGUCAGCUUGACUGUGAGACUUACUAGUCGAAUCCACCUUAUGGUGGAGUUCCGUACAAUUUGAUAACGGAAACAGGGUCGAAAGACGGUUUUAGUGAUCCUCGUGACUCAUUUGGUAUGAGCACGGGCUUACUGGAUAAAAGCUACUCUGGGGAUAACAGGCUAGUCGCAUCCGAUAGUUCAUAUUGACGAUGCGGUUCGGCACCUCGAUGUCGACUUGGCGCAUCCUGGCCCUGAAGAAGGGGCCAAGGGUUGGUCUGUUCGCCCAUUAAAGCGCUGCGUUAGUUGGGUUCAGAGCGUCGCGAGACAGCUCGGUCUCUAUCCGUAGUGGUCGUUGGAAUUUUGAAGGGAUUCGUCUACAGUACGAGAGGACCUAGACGAGGGAACCUCUAGUGUGCCAGUUGUUCCGUCAGGAGCAUCGCUGGGUAGCUACGUUCUUAUAAGAUAACUGCUGAAAGCAUCUCAAGCAGGAAGCUGACCCUAAGAUUAGAAUUCCUAUUCCGGCGCAAGUCGGAAGAGAGAUCUCCGGGAGACUACCGGAUAAUACUUUACGUGUGGAAGGUCUGUGAGGGCUUAAGCUAAGUAAAGGAUAGAUCGAAGAAACUUUUCAA